rnacentral:lncRNA from 1 species
GCCAGUGGGCCAGUGGGAGGCAGAGGCCAGAGGGUGGGAGGCCAUGGCGGCUCCCGGUGUCUGAGAUCACUGGCUGCUGCUUAGGCAGAGGCUGGACGGCCAGGUGGGACUGUCGCCUCCUUGGUCACAGCCCCUCCCAGGAUAGCCUCUCAGCUGGAGGCAGGGCUGUGCUGCCGGAUGUGGACCCCGCGGAUGGGUGACUGGCACAGACCCCCUUCCACACAGACCCGGGCUUGCUGUGUUUUCUCUCGGGGGAGGAAACAGUGCCCUCUGCCGGACUCUUCAGGGAUUGCAGGUGCCCCCGACCCAGAAAGCAGCUUCCUCCCGGAUCAGCCCAGAAAAGCAGGACAGCCAGGGGCCGGGCAGGCGUGGAUCUGGGCAGUGAAGGCGUGUGUGAGCCACAGGCACUGUAUGACCUAUGGGAUGGCAGCAGAGCCAGGAUCAGAGGAUCCCAGAGGGCCUCUGGAAGGCAGAGUGCAGUGACCCUGCAGGAAGCUUGGACAGGAGGACCAGACCCGGCCCUGGCUCCUACUCUACUCCAACCCCAGGCACGCACUGAGCCCUGGCCCCGUCCCCUGUGGACCGUAUGGAGGGUGAGACCACGGGAUGGGUGUCCGCAGUGCCCUCUAGGAUGCUGUCCCCCGACACGGCACCAUGGUGCUACCUCCUCCAGCAUCACGAUUCUGCCUCACCAGCACCACAGCCUUGCCUCCAGGGCCAUGGCCCCAGACAGUGGCCACUGCCUCACUGGCUGUGAGUGUGCGCGGGGCCUCCUUCAUCACACUCAGAGAAGAGGGACCCUGGGCUUCACCGGAUGAAACUGGAGGCCCUCAGGAUGAAGACAGCAGGGCACAGGUGUCCUCCCAGCUGCCUGGACCCAGAUCUCCCAGUUGGACCCAGAUCUCCCGCAAUUCGUCACCAGGUCUGUGCUGCCACCUCAGGAGUGACACCGGGGGUGGGCGCUGGCCAGGUCUCGGAGGACAGAGGAGGUGGGCAGGGUGAGGAAGUCCCCAGAACCUUUCCCGAGGAGCUGAGGGCGGGACCCCCCUGACCACUUCUGAGGCUCCAGAGUGGCGCUGAUGAGACGCUCCAGCAGGAACAGCUGGGAGAAACCUCGCCAGACCAGGUGACACGAGGCCAGGGACAAGGCUCCUGGAGCCCCGGAGCUCCCGCCAGCCCUUAAGGCCUUGGCAUUGCCACGCACUUUACGGAUGGAAAGCUGAGGCUCCAGUGUUUCCUGGCUAGAAAGGAAUGGAACAGGAAACUUUCGAGCCUCAGACCCUCGCCAGUGCCUGCUCUGGGCCAGGCCCUGCUUACACUCAGGUGUUCACCUGUGGGCACCACCUGUAGGGUAGCGCAGGGACUCAGCCAGGCCAGGCAGCUGGGACAGCCUUGCCCUGUGCCAGUGAGGAAGAGGCAACAUGAAAAGAGGAUACCUGGGCCCAGGAGCCCAGCGAGGUUGGCGCUCAGCAGCUCCUGUAGCCUGUGGAGCUCUGGGCUGGACAGCAAGGGACACCUAGUGCGAGCACGUGGCUGAGAGACUGGCCCCCAGGUCUGGCCAUGCAGCCUGGCCCAGCAGUGGGCACCCGGAGGGCAUAGGGCAGCCUGGUUCCUCUCUUCCAGCCCCACCGUGCAGUGGGUGGUGACAGAUGAGGCCACAAGGCUGGGGCGUGGUCACAUGUGGGGGGCGGGUGCCCGAACCAACCCCUAGGACUGCCGCAUUCCUUCUCUGCUGCCAGUUCCUCACUCCACACAGCCCACACAGAAGGACAGCAGGAGCCCUGGAAUGUGUGCAAAGGGUGGGGUGGGCAGGUGUGUGCGGCCAGCAGUGG